rnacentral:pre_miRNA from 1 species
UGUAUUCGAUUGUAUUCGACUGUAUUCACGGCGUGAAACAUGGGAUUACACUGCUUUUAAACGAAAAGGGAAUCAGUUAACAUAAUAGACUCCU